rnacentral:lncRNA from 1 species
CUUCCUCUCCAAGCACUCGAACCGUUAUUCCUUACCCACACAUUCAAACUCCCUUGCAAACUCAGGCAAUUGAUCCAUCCCUUAUAUUAAUCGAUAAUCAUAUCUGAACACUUUUGGUCCAUUAAAUCUUAACAUUCACUGGUCGUAUUUACUCAACCAUAUUUUUAAAACACCCUAAAACACUCAUCCUCUUCGCUGACCAAACACUAGCUGCAACCACCUCAAACACCACCAUCACUGCCAUCGAUUCCACCCUUCUAACUUCCCUUUCACCCUAAUUAAAAAAUCUUCCUCCCCUGAGAUGAGCGAGGCUAAAAUAAAAGAGAUGAAGAUUCAGGAAAAAUACUAAAUGAAAAAAGCUUACUCUCAUAUUAACAUGAGAUCUUUCGUAUUAGAACACCUUCGCCCCCACCUCUGAUCCUAAUACCAUAUACUUGACCAAUACGAACUAUGAGCACCCAACUUAUUGGAAAGGAUGUACUGGCACCUAAGGGGUGAAUGGGUUGUAAUCACUAUUUAUGUCCUAAGGUAUGGAGUGUGAUUCCCCCUCCACGAUUUUAUUUUUUCAUUUUUUUUGCUUUGUUGGGAUCGGAUUCGCACAACUGGUGCGGAACUCCUAUAUCCAUCUUAUAUUCUUCAUCGUUUUAAACCAAAAAUGUGGAUUUGAAACCUCCUAGAACUUCAUUACAAUGUUUACCAUAGGCCGGUCAAAAGAACCAGGGUACCGUCAACUGAACAAACAACCAAAUCUACGCGUAUGGAUGAAAAUUCCCUCUAACAACAAUGGGUGUCAUUCACACUGGGUAUUCAUCAAGGGCCAUGACACCAACUUCGGGUUUGACUCUACCUGCCCCAAAUUAGGACGAAGAAUUCAAAGCCUUCUACUCCAAGAUGUCGAAUACAGGCUGGUACCUAGACCUACUAUCUGACCAGAUUUGUCUUUUCAACCGCAAAUGUAAGUCAUAAAUUUAGUAAAAUAUAUUAGAUACAAAACUCAUUAAACCCAAAUUCUGAAUAAUAUUUACUUGCUUGUAGUAACCAUCUUCAAACUACAACCAAUCACCUACAUUGGAUCAAAAACCAUCAUCUGACGUCGUACCAACCAAACAUGCCCCUGAACCAAUAUCCGAUGCCCCAAAAGAUAUCUCACAAGAAGAAAAACUAAUCGUGGUGACACAAAUUUUUGCUUUCCUGAUGCCCGAUGUCGACGUCGAGAAUUUUAUUUGUCCCUUUUCGUUACUUGUUCUUUGGUGUUCUCAUGUUAUGUGAGAUUUGUUUGAAAAAACAAGUGAAAAAAGUCCGACAUGUGUAAUGUCGACGAUUUGAUUGUAAGAGUCGCCAGUUGGUGUUUUUAACUGGUUGCACCAACGCAACCGAGAAAAGGUUUGCACAUUGACCCAAUGAUAUGACACUGCUAAACGGGUCUGUGAAACCUAGAUUCAUUUGGGUUCGGGGGUUUGAUUAUGCGGGGGGAAGGUGUUAGGUACCCCCUGACAUCCGUGUUGCCACGGUGACCACUACUUUUCAAGAAACUGUUAUAUGAAUGUGUGUGUGUGUAUGGAUCAAUGUGCAAUUAUUUGGAAGUAGUGCGAGGCCUCAUUCGCACAUAUAUACAAAGGGUUUGAAUUUGUAGAAAAAUUCAGUUUUAAACAUGAUAUAGCAGUGAGAUUUUGUAAAAGAGGUUUUUCAAGCCCUGUGCUCAAUAGUAAUUGAGACCUUUUCAUACUUCUAUUUUAUUAUUAAAUGUUCAGCUUGUUUGCUUUUAUUUUCGAGAUGCAAAGAAUCUUCGAGAAAAUAAUAUAUAGCAGUGCCGAACUCCUCAUGGGCAUGACAGCCAUCUAAGGAAAUUCAGACACCGUAAAUAAUAUACAAGCUGCUUACAGCUGAAAAUGUCCAUCACGGGAAUCGAAUCUAGAUUCAGUAUUGGAUUUGUUUGAAAAAACAAGUGAAAAAGAUCUGACAUGUGUAAUGUCGACGAUUUGACUGUAAUAGUCGCCAGUUGGUGUUUUUAAAUGGUUGCACCAACGCAACUGAGAAAAGGUUUUCACAUUAACCCAGUGAUAUGACACUGCUAAACGGGUCUGUGAAAUCAAGAUUCAUUUGGGUUCUGGGUUUAAUUAUGCCGGGGGAAGGUGUUAGGUACCCCCUGACAUCCGUGUUGCCACGGUGACCGCCACUUUUCAAGAAACUGUUAUAUGAAUGUGUGUGUGUGUGUGUGUGUGGAUUAAUGUGCAAUUAUUUAGAAGUAGUGCGAGG